UACGUAGGGUGCAAGCGUUGUCCGGAAUUAUUGGGCGUAAAGAGCUCGUAGGCGGUCUGUCGCGUCGGCUGUGAAAACUCGGGGCUCAACCCCGAGCCUGCAGUCGAUACGGGCAGACUAGAGUGCUGUAGGGGAGACUGGAAUUCCUGGUGUAGCGGUGAAAUGCGCAGAUAUCAGGAGGAACACCGGUGGCGAAGGCGGUCUCUGGGCAGUAACUGACGCUGAGGAGCGAAAGCGUGGGAGCGAACAGG
rnacentral:rRNA from 1 species